rnacentral:tRNA from 1 species
GGCCUAUUAGCUCAAAUGGUAGAGCAAUGCAUGUGCCAUUGCACCUUUAUGUAGGUUCGAGUCCUACAUAGGCUA